rfam:Loxodonta africana unplaced genomic scaffold scaffold_8, whole genome shotgun sequence.
GCAGUGGUGGGUCAGUGGUAGAAUUCUCACCUUCCAUGCUAGAGACCUGGGUUUGAUUCCCAGCCAAUGCG